rnacentral:rRNA from 1 species
CAAUAGCGUAUAUUAAAGUUGUUGCAGUUAAAAAGCUCGUAGUUGGAUUUCUGGUGGGAGCGAUCGGUCUGGCGCUUAGCGCGAGUACUUGCAUCGUCUCCGGCCACCCUUGGGGAGAGUCUGUCUGGCAUUAAGCUGUCGGGCAGAGGAUCCUCAUCGUUUACUGUGAAAAAAUUAGAGUGUUCAAAGCAGGCUUAUGCCGUUGAAUAUAUUAGCAUGGAAUAAUAAGAUAGGACUUUGGUACUAUUUUGUUGGUUUGCGCACCAAAGUAAUGAUUAAUAGGGACAGUUGGGGGUAUUCGUAUUCCGUUGUCAGAGGUGAAAUUCUUGGAUUUACGGAAGACGAACUACUGCGAAAGCAUUUACCAAGGAUGUUUUCAUUAA